UACGUAGGGUGCGAGCGUUAAUCGGAAUUACUGGGCGUAAAGCGUGCGCAGGCGGUUUGCUAAGACAGGCGUGAAAUCCCCGGGCUUAACCUGGGAACUGCGUUUGUGACUGGCAGGCUAGAGUAUGGCAGAGGGGGGGUGGAAUUCCACGUGUAGCAGUGAAAUGCGUAGAGAUGUGGAGGAACACCGAUGGCGAAGGCAGCCCCCUGGGCCAAUACUGACGCUCAUGCACGAAAGCGUGGGGAGCAAACAGG
rnacentral:rRNA from 1 species